rnacentral:tRNA from 1 species
GCCGGCGUACGCCAAUCGGCAGAGCGGACGGCUUUAGAUGCCGUACAGUGCGGGUUCGAAUCCCGCCGCCGGCA